AGCGAACGCUGGCGGCAGGCCUAACACAUGCAAGUCGAGCGCCAGGAGAAAUACGGGAGCGGCAGACGGGUGAGUAACACGUGGGAACGUACCCUUCGGUUCGGAAUAACCCAGGGAAACUUGGAUUAAUACCGGAUACGUCCGUAAGGAGAAAGAUUUAUCGCCGAAGGAUCGGCCCGCGUCCGAUUAGCUUGGUGGUGGGGCAAUGGCCCACCAAGGCUACGAUCGGUAGCUGGUCUGAGAGGAUGAUCAGCCACACUGGGACUGAGACACGGCCCAGACACCUACGGGAGGCAGCAGUGGGGAAUAUUGGACAAGGGGCGCAAGCAUGAUCCAGCCAUGCCGCGUGGGUGAUGAAGGCCCUAGGGUUGUAAAGCCCUUUCGGCGGGGAAGAUAAUGACGGUACCCGCAGAAGAAGCCCCGGCUAACUUCGUGCCAGCCGCCGCCGUAAAAC
rnacentral:rRNA from 1 species